rnacentral:rRNA from 1 species
GCCUCUCGCCUAUUAGAUUGGCCCAAGUGGGAUUAGCUAGUUGGUGAGGUAAUGGCUCACCAAGGCGACGAUCCCUAGCUGGUUUGAGAGGAUGAUCAGCCACACUGGGACUGAGACACGGCCCAGACUCCUACGGGAGGCAGCAGUGGGGAAUUUUGCACAAUGGGCGCAAGCCUGAUGCAGCCAUGCCGCGUGUGUGAAGAAGGCCUUCGGGUUGUAAAGCACUUUCAGUCAGGAGGAAAGGUUAGUAGUUAAUACCUGCUAGUUGUGACGUUACUGACAGAAGAAGCACCGGCUAACUCCGUGCCAGCAGCCGCGGUAAUACGGAGGGUGCGAGCGUUAAUCGGAAUUACUGGGCGUAAAGCGUACGCAGGCGGUUUGUUAAGCGAGAUGUGAAAGCCCCGGGCUCAACCUGGGAACUGCAUUUGGAACUGGCAAACUAGAGUGUGAUAGAGGGUGGUAGAAUUUCAGGUGUAGCGGUGAAAUGCGUACAUAUCUGAAGGAAUACCGAUGGCGAAGGCAGCCACCUGGGUCAACACUGACGCUCA